GUCAGUUCGUACUGUGAAGCAUCCUGUUAAGUCAGGCAACGAGCGAGACCCACGCCCACAGUUGCCAGCGUACUCUCUGGAGUGACGGGUACACGUGUGGGGACCCGCCGCUGGCUAAAGCGGAGGAAGGAAUGGGCAACGGUAGGUCAGUAUGCCCCGAAUAUCCCGGGCUACACGCGAGCUACAAUGGUUGGUACAAUGGGUAUCUACCCCGAAAGGGGACGGGAAUCUCCUAAACCAAUCUUAGUUCGGAUUGAGGGCUGCAACUCGCCCUCAUGAAGCUGGAAUCCGUAGUAAUCGCGUUUCAACAGAACGCGGUGAAUACGUCCCUGCCUCCUU
rnacentral:rRNA from 1 species